GAUGAACGCUAGCGAUAGGCUUAACACAUGCAAGUCGAGGGGCAGCACAAGGUAGCUUGCUAUCUGGGUGGCGACCGGCGCACGGGUGCGUAACGCGUAUGCAACUUGCCCUAUACAGGAGGAUAACCCGUCGAAAGACGGACUAAUACUGCGUAUGCUCACAACUUGGCAUCAAGUGGUGAGGAAAGAAAUUCGGUAUAGGAUAGGCAUGCGUCCCAUUAGCUUGUUGGUGAGGUAACGGCUCACCAAGGCAACGAUGGGUAGGGGAACUGAGAGGUUUAUCCCCCACACUGGUACGGAGACACGGACCAGACUCCUACGGGAGGCAGCAGUGAGGAAUAUUGGUCAAUGGGCGCGAGCCUGAACCAGCCAAGUCGCGUGAAGGAUGACUGUCUUAUGGAUUGUAAACUUCUUUUAUACGGGAAUAACAAGAGUCACGUGUGACUCCCUGCAUGUACCGUAUGAAUAAGCAUCGGCUAACUCCGUG
rnacentral:rRNA from 1 species